CAAUGUGGCAGUCCGGCGGUGUGACUUUCACAGUGUGGCUUUCGGUUGCUAUCUAAAGCCACUUCCCACUUUUGGCAUUUUGGUGAAUGCGCCACAAAAAUAUGUAUAUACACAUAUAUUAUUCAAAACCCUUAUUUUAUAUAAUAUAUAUUGAAUUAUAAAUUCCAUGAAAUUACCAUACCCAGCACCACCUUAUUAUAAAUAUAGACAUAGAUGAUGCAGCAAAUCAUGCAGCACUUGUGUGAGUCUCUUCCUAAGAGCAACUUACAUGAAGAGGAAGAGAGAGUGAUGCAGCCAAGGAUGACUUGCCGGCGUUACACUGCAUGCUCUUCACGGUAACUUUGUCGGCAAGUGGUUCUUGGCUACGUUUGGCUCUUUUCUUAUCAUGUAAGUGCUGGCUAGGAUCAAUUACUGCAUCAGAAACUCCUUCACUUGCAUACACUGCUACAAGAUUGUGUAUGUUUUUCUGGUAAGUAGAUGAGCUUGUGCUUGUGACGAGUUUGAAUAUGAUAAAUGUCCCUUUCUUUUUUGGUCAUGUUUGUUUCCUUGAAGCUGAACUCACAAGUUUUUUGUUUAUUUCGUUGAGAAAGAUAAACGGUGUAAAAGCUGUGUUUCAGUAUAUACAAUGGAGACUUGAAAGCUAUUUGACAGAUGCGGAACAAAAAUAGAAAACAUUAUUGGAAAACUGAAAGGUGUUUGUGAGAUGUUUUGGUAAAGAUGAAGGUGUGUAGAGAUCAAGAUAAUAUGUCAGCAUACAGCCAGGCCAAGAAACAGAGAAUUGAAAAUCUUGAACAGGUAGUCCAUUCAUGCCAUACAUUAUGGUCAUUUUCUUUGACCAAUUGAACAUGGCACCCAAAACAACCACAUAUUUAUGAAGGUGAUGUGACUGAGUAAACAAAAUUUUUAAAAACAAACAUAUAUUUAGUCCUUUUGUGUUUCUACUUCAAUUCCUUCUUCUUUCUCUUUAUUACAUAACACUGUGGAUCACAUUUAUUGAAGAUUUUAAUUAUUAGCUCCCAACAGUGAUAGUUUAGUAAGGUGACAAUGUACAUCACGGUAUGAAAGUGAAAUAUAUGUUGUAAAGGCACGUUUAUCUGUGCACUGUCCAUGUCCAUGUGCAAGAAAAAUGCUUAAUUGCAUGCACAUGCUGAGCUUUUCUGUACGUGGGGCCAUCCAAAGUGGACCAAACAAUUAUAUCUCUGCUUCUUUUGUACAUUUUGAGUCUCCCAAAAUGAUUCCUGAAAUGCAUCAUGUGCAGCAGUUAUGUGUCAUUGGUACGUAAGCAAAAUUUAUUUUUCUUUUCACAUCUCUAUAUUAUAUGUAUAUUUUUACUCAAAAAAUACUUUAAAAGUUAUCUGCAAUAUUCAUGUGUCUAUGAUGUUUCAUCAUGAUUGAGUUGCGGAUAGCAUUUAUGAAGGUGUAAUUUUCAUAAGAGUGGACCACUCAAAAUCUUUUUUUUUUUCUUUACUUAAUCUAGGGUUUUGUCUUACUCUUUUGUUUGAGCGUUUCCAUGUUACAACAAUUUUCUUCUUCGAAAACUCCCUUCACAUUAUAAUGAUUUUCAUCACUGUCAUUUUCUUGAAAACUAUGGAUAGUAGACAAAAUGAAAUAAUUUACCAUUUCUUCUCUGUUGUACCAAGGAAUAACAUUAAAAAGAUCUUUAACAAAAACACUGAUAUUCUUUCUUAAACUUUUUUCUCUCAGAAGAGAAUUGAAUUUUAGAUCCACGAAGAAGGGGCCUUAGCCUCCAUUUUAUAAUAAGAGGAGAAAGUUCCUUUCAACGUUUUACUGGAUGUGGGACUUCUCCUUCACAUUUCUCUGUUCAUGUUCUUCACAGAUUUCUCAGAUCACUGUUAGAAACUCAAACCUUACAAGGGAAUAAACAGAUAGACAUAAAAGGGUAUUCGAAGCCUAUCAUGAACGAAAAUACACAGACAGAAGAUAAAAUGACAGACAUCUUCCGAGAAAGAGCCUGUCGGAGACACUAGUUAAGCAAACAAGAAUGAAAAAUCUUCUUAUGAUAUUCAUAUUGUAUAUAUGUACUGUAAAAUUUGGCAAAAGCGAUUUCAUAGUUUUGCAUGUUUGAGAUGAUGUUGAAGUUGCAGUGCAAUUUUGGUA